CAGUAGCCGCGGGAAAACGUAGGUGGCAAGCGUUGUCCGGAAUUAUUGGGCGUAAAGCGAGCGCAGGCGGUUAGAAAAGUCUGAAGUGAAAGGCAGUGGCUCAACCAUUGUAGGCUUUGGAAACUGUUUGACUUGAGUGCAGAAGGGGAGAGUGGAAUUCCAUGUGUAGCGGUGAAAUGCGUAGAUAUAUGGAGGAACACCGGUGGCGAAAGCGGCUCUCUGGUCUGUAACUGACGCUGAGGCUCGAAAGCGUGGGGAGCGAACAGGAUUAGAUACCCGAGUAGUCCCUGUCUCUUAUACU
rnacentral:rRNA from 1 species